UGGUGGAGCGAUUUGUCUGGUUAAUUCCGAUAACGAACGAGACUCUGGCCUAUUAAAUAGUUCGCCGAUUCCGAUCUGUCGGCGUUAACUUCUUAGAGGGACAAGUGGCUUUUAGCCACGCGAGAUUGAGCAAUGACA
rnacentral:rRNA from 1 species